rnacentral:tRNA from 1 species
GCGGAUGUAGUUCAAUGGCAGAACUUCAGCUUCCCAAGCUGAUAGUGCGGGUUCGAUUCCCGUCAUCCGCUCCA